UAUCCUGGCCUGCGUAGGUGAACU
rnacentral:siRNA from 1 species